rnacentral:rRNA from 1 species
AUUGAACGCUGGCGGCAGGCUUAACACAUGCAAGUCGAGCGGAGCGAAGGUGCUUGCACCUUAGCUUAGCGGCGGACGGGUGAGUAAUGCUUAGGAAUCUGCCUAUUAGUGGGGGACAACGUUUCGAAAGGAACGCUAAUACCGCAUACGUCCUACGGGAGAAAGCAGGGGAUCUUCGGACCUUGUGCUAAUAGAUGAGCCUAAGUCGGAUUGGCUAGUUGGGGGGGUAAAGGCCUAUCAAGGCGACGAUCUGUAGCGGGUCUGAGAGGAUGAUCCGCCACACUGGGACUGAGACACGGCCCAGACUCCUACGGGAGGCAGCAGUGGGGAAUAUUGGACAAUGGGCGAAAGCCUGAUCCAGCCAUGCCGCGUGUGUGAAGAAGGCCUUUUGGUUGUAAAGCACUUUAAGCGAGGAGGAGGAGCUUCAGGUUAAUACCCUGGAUGCUUGGACGUUACUCGCAGAAUAAGCACCGGCUAACUCUGUGCCAGCAGCCGCAGUAAAAC